AUAAAGGGUAGUGAGAUUGUCUUUCAGAUGAUUGUCGCGAAAACUCAAGGUCCUGAAACACCUGAGCAGGUGACAUUUGAACUCUCCAUGUGUAGUGCUGUAUUUUAACUGAAAUAUCGGGCUUACAACGAACCGAAGAUCGUGACUUCUCCCAAACUCCAAGGAAUAGAAGCGCCGGUUUCUGCUUAUUAUUCGCUGUUUCUGAUGGCCAAGAGCAAGGGGCAGUCAAGGCCAUUAAUGCAGAACUGGAAUUCAGCGAGGAGCGCCUCUUCUGCAGACUGCCCCCCGCUAGGGCGCGGGGAGGGCACCGGUUCCUCUGCGCGGAAAGGAGGGGGAGAAAGUCGCUAAGAGAAAAAUCCGGUGUGGCCCAGAUCUCCGGGUGCACAUUCCCGGGAGAGGAGCGCGCCGUUUCCAGCGCGGUGCAGCGCUCCGAGCGGCGGCCACCAGCGACCCAGCGCGCGAGCACAACGCGACCCACGAAGGGGGCUCGCGGGAGGCACCAAGAAGCACCGGCGCAUCAGAGCGGAGAACCCGCAGCCGAACCUUGCCGGGGCGCACCCAGCACCGGGGCGGGGGCCAGGACUUCGCUUCCACCGCAUGGGAUGAGCUGUGCAAGGUGGAGGAAGGCGGCGCAGAGCCGGGGGACGAAGCCCGGACCGGACAGGAAUCCCGGGGAGAAAGAAGGGAGCCCCAGCCUGGCCAGGAGGGGCAUUUUUGUCAGAGGGGGUAUUGGGGGAGUCCCUGAGCGCCGCGGAUUCCAGGGGGGCAGCGCGGACGCCCAUUCCCUGUUCUCCCCCGAGAGAAGCGGUUCCCGUGGGGCAGGAAGGGCUCUCAGCUCUUUGAGAUUGAGAUUCACAGGAAUCUAA
rnacentral:lncRNA from 1 species